CACCUUUCAACCUUUAUCUUUUAAACUCGUUAGGUAAAGUAUGUCAUUGCUUCUAAACUGAUGUCCUGCAGGACUUCUCAGCACUAAUGGCUCAAACAGACAUAGAGCAUAAAUAGAGAUGUGAAGUAAAGAUCACCCAGAGGAAUGCCAGAGAGCACACACAUGUCUCGAACAGCUUUGAGUGGUUCAUUUGGUACUCAGGAAAUGACUCUUCAAUUGAUGCUUGGAAAGUAUCAUUAGAAGAAAAUGGAAAGAAAAGAAAAAGAAAAUGGCUUUUGGAAACAUUUAUGUAGACACAACCCUCUGAAAGGUGGGCAAGCCCAUCUUAGAAAAAGUAUGAUCCUACCCUGGUCAUAGUCACUCCUCCACAAUUGACUGGUCAGAAUUGAAGUCUGCUUCUUGUUGCCAUAGAAUCAUGUACUGGU
rnacentral:lncRNA from 1 species